GUGGAUUAGAUACCCUGGUAGUCCACGCCGUAAACGAUGUCUAUUUGGAGGUUGUGCCCUUGAGGCGUGGCUUCCGGAGCUAACGCGUUAAAUAGACCGCCUGGGGAGUACGGCCGCAAGGUUAAAACUCAAAUGAAUUGACGGGGGCCCGCACAAGCGGUGGAGCAUGUGGUUUAAUUCGAUGCAACGCGAAGAACCUUACCUGGUCUUGACAUCCACAGAACUUAGCAGAGAUGCUUUGGUGCCUUCGGGAACUGUGAGACAGGUGCUGCAUGGCUGUCACCAACU
rnacentral:rRNA from 1 species